UACGUAGGGUGCGAGCGUUAAUCGGAAUUACUGGGCGUAAAGCGUGCGCAGGCGGUUUUGUAAGCCAGAUGUGAAAUCCUCGGGCUUAACCUGGGAAUGGCAUUUGGGACUGCAAGGCUCGAGUGCGGCAGAGGAGACUGGAAUUCCUGGUGUAGCAGUGAAAUGCGUAGAUAUCAGGAGGAACACCGAUGGCGAAGGCAGGUCUCUGGGCUGACACUGACGCUCAUGCACGAAAGCGUGGGGAGCAAACAGG
rnacentral:rRNA from 1 species